AUCUGGCUCUAGCACCAAGGGAUGAAAAUGGAAAAAGAAGAAUAAAGAGAAAUGCUUCAAAGGAGAUUGUUCCAGGACUACCAGUAGUUCUCUACUAGGUUUACAAGAACUGAUCCAGCAAUGGAAUACAAAUGCACUAGUGAUCCCAGCCAAGAUACCAGAACCUGACCAAGACAAUGUUUUGCUGCUGUUAUCCAGAAUUAACCUUUGAUUUUGAGGAGUGACUUUAAAGUUUGGCAGAAAAGAAGCAGAGUCAAGGACCAGGAAUUGCUUCAGUAAAGUUGCAAGAUACCAAAUCAACCUACAAAAAUGAAUAGCAUUUCUAUAUCAUAGAAAUGAAACAGCUGAAACAAGAGAGCAAUCCCAUUUACAAUAGCUACAAAAAAAAGGGAUCAAUUUCACCAAGGAGAUAAAAAAUCUCUAUAAGGUAAAAACCAUAAAACACUGAUGAAAGAAGUUGAAAAGGACACAAAUGGAAUGUCAUCCC
rnacentral:lncRNA from 1 species